GACUGUCCUAUUCUGUGCAGAUGAAUUCAUCCACCAACUAAUACAAAGCGGGCUCUGAAUUCUCUCGCGCAGAUCAAUAAAAAUAAACGUCUCAAAAAGCAAAAAGCUUAAUUCGAAGAUGUUAUUCCAAUGCUUGUCAGAUCAGACGAGCGUCUCGUAAUCCUUGUAUGUAAUAAUUGAUGAAGAGCCGCGGAAGCUAGGAGAGAAACAGAGAAGGAUAGAAAGCUCUUUAUUGCAUACUAGCUGACCCGGCAGACUUCGUAGUGCCUCAAUCGAUAAAUAAAAGACCUAAACUUCUGUAUAAAAUAAACUUAAAACAAACAACGUCAACGGAAAAACAAAAUUGUUAUUUUUAUUUAAAUUGGAGCAUUUUCAUAUUUAUCUACCUUUUAAACCUUCUCUGGACUUCCACAAAUAAUUCAAGACCAAAAUUAGCCAAAUCGGUCCAGCCGUUCUCGAGUUUUAGCGAGACUAACGAACAGCAAUUCAUUUUUAUAUAUAUAGAGAGAUAAAGAAACGUAUACAAGAAUGUACUCUUUUAAAGUCGUCGUGGCCUAAACGAUAAGACGCUCGGUGUACGCGGAUCUAGCGAUGCGACUGUGCCAGUAUUCGAAUCCUGCAAGCAGGAUAACGUCUGUCGGGUCCGCUGGUUUAAUAUAAUACUUGUAAUUUCACAUUGAAAGCCACCGCAGUACAACGUGCUCGUAAUGCUAACAUCCGCCUUCAAUGAAGAACAUCGCUCGUCGUGGCUGCGUGGUUGGAAGCGACGUGGUUGAAUGCGAGCAGUGAUGAUGAGACGCAACCCUGUCCAUCGCCAGCCACGACUACUUCGCCAAGAUUAUUCGACAAGGAAGAAUACCACAUCACCUUUUAAUACUUGCCGGACCUCACUGCAGUGCAGAGGGGCCUCCGGUAGCCCGUUAACGCUGGAUAAGCGACAGCCAACGAAGUGGACCGACGACCUGGUCAAACUGGCUGGUAGGAACUGGAUGCGGAAGGCAAGAGACCGAAGAGAAUGAGGUGCAUAGACCUACACUCAGCAUUGCGUGCAUACGGGUUGAAGAAGAGAAGCUCUCAUGGGUUGAUAGUACCUGCUACUCCUGCUACUGCUGCUAAACAUUUUAAAUAUUUCAAAUCGUAUUACUUAUUUUGAUUGCAACAAAACUGGAAAUCGAUUCUUAAUGUUAACACCUAUACGAAGUGCCCUAGGACAAAAUUCAACAAUAGUCAAGGUUUCAUCAUCAUCAGCCCACAGUCGUCCACUGCUGGAUAUGGACGGCUACCAAUCCACACAACUGAGCCCGGUCUUCGACUCUCCUCAUCCACUUCUUGCCGGCAACCGUUCGGAGCUCAUCACACCACCUAGGCAGAGGGCGUCUCACGUUACGUUUUCUCCACUACAAGUCUCCACUCGAGAACCCGUCUGCUCCAGCGAUCGUCAAUUCUCCGGCAUAUAUGGCCAGCCCACAGCCACUUCAGCUUGCUGACUCUUUGACUAUGUCGAUGACUCUAGUUCUCUGUCGAAUAACCUCAUUCCUGAUUUCAUUCUUCAGAGAAACUCCAAGCAUGGCUCUUUCCAUGACCACCUUGAGCUGAUGGACCAAUCGAACUGUGAGGGUCCAGGUUUACCUAUUUUUUUAUUAUCUCAAAAAAAAUGAAAAUGAUAUUAUACCCUCAACUCAGCAAAUAAAACAUGAUUCAAAUCUGA